rnacentral:rRNA from 1 species
UAUGCAAGUCAUUGAGUUAUAAUAAACUUAAUGGCGUAAUUAACUUAACUAAUUAUAUAAUAUAUAUUAUAAAUGGGAUUAAUUUUUUGUCUAUUUUGUUUAUAAAUAGUCAAUUAAUUCAAUCCCGGGGCGUUCCAUAUAGUUAUGUAUAAUGAUAAUUUAUUAUUAUUUAUAUCUCUAACUGGAGCGUACCUUGAGCAUAUAUGUUGUGACCCGAAAGAUGGUGAACUAUACUUGAUCAGGUUGAAGUCAGGGGAAACCCUGAUGGAAGACCGAAACAGUUCUGACGUGCAAAUCGAUUGUCAGAAUUGAGUAUAGGGGCGAAAGACCAAUCGAACCAUCUA